rnacentral:lncRNA from 1 species
CAUGUGCAAGAGCAGUAGGGAGUGACAUCACAUCUGUAACUAUAGGAGUGUUUCCUUGCUAUCAGAUCCAAGUGAAUACAAUCCUUUGUACCGAGUUACCUUGAGGUAGCCAAAUGUGCCAGAGUCAACUCUAGUUAGAAUGAAUGAGUCUUCUAGAUGUGCACUUUCAGCUAAGCUUGGCAGGAUCUCCAAACUCCUAAACUCUGUGUCCUGGUAAGUCAUCACCAGGACUAAUCACAAACGUUAAAACACAGCUAGCUACUGGUUCUCAUCAAUUUUGCGAUAAAAUGAUCAUAGUAUCACCAAAUCACGUUGUUUUUUUCUUUUUGUCAUCAAAGAAUGAAUCAGAAUGCCACAUUUGAUUCUCUUCAUAGGUGGAUUUUUCUUCAUUUAAGAGCAUUAAUUUUUGAUUUCUUAUAAAAGAUAUAUUUCAUCACAUAAUUCUUUACAUCAUCAAUAAAAAUCUGGAUAAAAUAAGCCUUUUUAUUAUGUAGAAUUAUAAUAAUUAUUAUCAUAAUAAUUCUUCCCAUCUUUUACUUAAUGUAGCCUAGGUAAAUGACAGUGAAAAAGCAUUUUGUGUAUAAAAGCGCUAUCAAGAACGCUACCUUCCAGGAACGUAAAUUGAUACAUGGAAGAAGAAAGGAGCCAGGUGUGAUAGCUUCCAGCUGCGAUGGUAGUGGGUAUAGAAAGAAGAGUAUGUGCAUAUUUUUUUGUCUUUAAAAAUUUUAAAUAAGGAAAUGAGAGAGAAACUAACCCAAUAAAUGAUGGCCUUGUACAAAGUAUCUUGGAUUCUUAUCAAGGCUGUGGCAGUCAAGUGUCCUUUGCCCCUGCUUCCUUGUUGUUUGCAUAACUCAUUGUGAAAGAUGAGGAUUUAUCUCUUUGUUAGUUUUCUUUCCUUCUAUCUUCCUAUCUCCACUACUACAUGAAAGAUUCCAACACCAUAAUCCCACAAAGUUAAUACUUGUUUUCUAUUUGUUCAUUUUGUAAAUAAAUCUAAUACUUUUUAUUUCUAUACAUUUUCUCUCAUUCUAACAUACUAGAUAGCCCUACUCAUUAGUGAUGUAAGGAAUCUUUCAUGUACUUAUCACUACUAAUCAUUAGGGAAAUACAAAUCAAAACAACAAUGAGACAUUGCUUCACACAUAAUAUGAUGGCUACUAUUAAGAAAAAAAAAAGCAACAGAAAAUUUCAAGUGUCAGCUAGGUCGUGGAAAAAUAGGGCAUCUUGUGCCCUGUUGGUGGGAAUGUAAAAUGGUGCAGGUGCUAUGGAAAACAGUAUGGUGGGUCUUCAAAAAAUUAAAAAGAGAAUUACCGUGUGACUUAGCCAUUCCUCUUCUGGGUAUAUGCCCAGAUGGUCUGAAAGUAGAGUCUUGAAGAGAUACUUGCAUAUUAUGUACAUAGUAGCAUUAUUCAGAAUAAACUGGAAAUAACCCAGUGUCUAUUGAGAAAUGGUGGAUCAACAAAAUGUGGUAUGUACGUGUGAUGAGGUUUCACCAAGCCUUAAAAAGGAAGAAAAUUCUGACUCACGCUACAGCAUGAAUGAAGCUUGAGGACAUUAUGCUGUGCAAAAUAAAUCAGUUACAAAAAGACAAAUACUGUGUAAUUUCACUUUUCUGAGGUACCUAGAGUAGUCAAAACCAGAAAGUAGAAUGGUGGUUACUAGGGGCUUGGAGGAGGAAGGAAUGUUGAGUAAUUGUUUAAUUUUUGCAAUGUUUUAGUUUUGAAUAUUUAAAAAACUCUGGAGAAAUGAUAGUGUUGAUGGUUGCUAAACAAUAUGAAUAUAUUUCAUGUCACAGAACUAUACUCUUAAAAAUGGUUAUGAUGGUAAAUUUGAUGUGUAUUUUACCACAAUUAGAACAAUAUUUUUGUUAGUUCACGAUACACAAUAAAAUGAUUACAGAUUGAAUGAGGAAGCUUGGGUGGAUUCAGACAAAAAAGAUUGGUCCUUCAAGACCCUAUCUCCAAAUCCAGUUACAUUGGACAAUGCAUUAAAAAGUGUAUUUCCUAUAUGUAAUCCAACAAUCAUAAUUGUUU